CCUACGGGAGGCAGCAGUGAGGAAUAUUGCGCAAUGGAGGAAACUCUGACGCAGCNACGCCGCGUGGGUGAUGAAGGCCCUCGGGUCGUAAAGCCCUUUUAUGGGGGAAGAGAAAGGACGUACCCCAUGAAUAAGCCCCGGCUAACUACG
rnacentral:rRNA from 1 species